rnacentral:rRNA from 1 species
AGGGCGUAUGAAGUCAGUUGUACACGACCCGAAACCGGGUGACCUACCCAUGUCCAGGUUGAAGUGGAGGUAAAACUCCAUGGAGGACCGAACCGACUCCCGUUGAAAUGGUAGCGGAUGAGGUGUGGGUAGCGGAGAAAUUCCAAUCGAACCCGGAGAUAGCUGGUUCUCUCCGAAAUAGCUUUAGGGCUAGCCUCGUAUUAGAUUACCGGAGGUAAAGCACUGAAUGGUCUAGGGGCCGAGAGGCUACCGAAACCUAUCAAACUCAGAAUGCCGGAUAAUUGAUGUACGGGAGUCAGACAGUGUGAGAUAAGUUUCAUUGUCAAAAGGGAAACAGCCCAGACCCACAGCUAAGGUCCCAAAAUAUUGUUAAGUGGAAAAGGAUGUGGGGUUGCACAGACAACCAGGAUGUUGGCUUAGAAGCAGCCACUCAUUAAAAGAGUGCGUAAUAGCUCACUGGUCGAGUGACCCUGCGCCGAAAAUUUAACGGGGCUAAACAGUAUACCGAAGCUUGGGAUUCCGUGAGGAAUGGUAGGAGAGCGUCGAAUGAGGGGUGAAGUCAUAGCGGAAGCGGUGGUGGACUUCAUUCGAGUGAGAAUGCCGGAAUGAGUAGCGCGAAAUGUGUGAGAAUCAUAUUGGCCGAAAGUCUAAGGUUUUUGGAGGAAGGUUCGUCCGCUCCAAGUAAGCCGGGAGCUAAGGCGAGGCCGAAAGGCGUAGUCGAUGCACAUACGGUGGAAAUUCCGUAGCCGCCAAAAGAUUUAAGAUAAGGGACACCCUAGAAAGGCAUGACCCGGGCGAUGGUCGCCCCGGGCGUAAGGGACCGAAAUUAGAGUAGGGAAGCAUGCUGGACGGGGGGCGAGAAAAGCUUAUUGUAUAUCUGAGGCGCCCGUACCGCAAACCGACACAGGUAGAUGGGAAGAGAAUUCUAAGGCCAACGGGAGAAGGGUAGUUAAGGAACUCGGCAAAUUGGUCCCGUAACUUAGGGAAAAGGGACGCCACGGAGACGUGGCCGCAGUGAAUAGGCCCAGGCGACUGUUUAGCAAAAACACAGGUCUCUGCUAAAUCGAAAGAUGAAGUAUAGGGGCUGACACCUGCCCGGUGCUGGAAGGUUAAGAGGAGAUGUGCAAGCAUUGAAUUGAAGCCCCAGUAAACGGCGGCCGUAACUAUAACGGUCCUAAGGUAGCGAAAUUCCUUGUCGGGUAAGUUCCGACCCGCACGAAUGGUGUAACGAUCUGGGCACUGUCUCAAUUACCCGCCCGGCGAAAUUGUAGUACCGGUGAAGAUGCCGGUUACCCGCGACAAGACGGAAAGACCCCAUGGAGCUUUACUGCAGUUUAAUAUUGGGUUUCGGUAAUUUAUGUACAGGAUAGGUGGGAGACUGGGAAGCCAGCACGCCAGUGUUGGUGGAGUCACCCUUGGGAUACCACCCUUAAGUUGCUGGAAUUCUAACCUGCGGCCGUGAAUCCGGCCGGGGGACAUUGUUAGACGGGCAGUUUGACUGGGGCGGUCGCCUCCAAAAAGGUAACGGAGGCGCUCAAAGGUUGGCUCAGCACGGACGGAAACCGUGCUUUAGAGUGUAAACGCGUAAGCCAGCCUAACUGCGAGGGUGACGGCCCGAGCAGUAACGAAAGUUGGAGUUAGUGAUCCGGCGGUAUGAGAGUGGAAUUGCCGUCGCUCAACGGAUAAAAGCUACCCUGGGGAUAACAGGCUGAUCUCCCCCAAGAGUCCACAUCGACGGGGAGGUUUGGCACCUCGAUGUCGGCUCAUCACAUCCUGGGGCUGUAUUCGGUCCCAAGGGUUCGGCUGUUCGCCGAUUAAAGUGGUACGCGAGCUGGGUUCAGAACGUCGUGAGACAGUUCGGUCCCUAUCUGUCGUGGGCGUAGGAUAUUUGAGGAGAGCUGUCCUUAGUACGAGAGGACCGGGAUGGACGCACCUCUGGCGCACCAGUUGUUCCGCCAGGAGCACAGCUGGGCAACUAUGUGCGGAUCGGAUAAACGCUGAAAGCAUCUAAGCGUGAAGCCGACUCCAAGAUAAGAUAUCCCAUAGCGUAAGCUAGUAAGGCCCCUUGAAGACUACAAGGUUGAUAGGCUGCGUGUGUAAGCAUGGUAACAUGUUCAGCUUGGCAGUACUAAUAGGCCGAGGGCUUGACCAU